rnacentral:misc_RNA from 1 species
GUGGGGAACUGCUUGUAAGCGCGUUGGGUAUAAUCCAAUACUUCACAGAUUUGCAUAUUUACCCAUUGCAUAUCGAAAAGAAAAUACUAUAUAUAAUGAAUAGUUUUCAGUUUUCACGGGAGCUCUGCCCUCCUGAUUGGACCCAUACAAAUUCUCUCUUCCAACUCUAUCAGGCAACCAUAGGUUUAAAGAGUGAAUGAGGGAGAGGGAUACGUGUAAUUGAUAUUUCAAGUUUAAAGAAUUAUCUAACAACAAAACCAAAGCUGAAGAUUGAAGAAGCUGUUGCUGCUGCCUGUAAAGCAUUCAUGAAUUCUUACUGAUUUUCGGGGAUCUUUUUUUAGCUCUCGUUCAUCACUCUAGUAGCAUUCCUCUUGUGCCCAUUUAAGGUUAGAAAAUGACUAGGCCUCUGCAUCGAGUCAUAUCAGGGAUGCGGAUCUCAGGGAACAACCACGAUUUAUGGGACUCCCAAAUGAAAGAUAAAACAGAAAAGGAAGAUUUGGAUAGAAACCGUCACCGUUAUUUAUCCCUCAAGUUUCCUUUCCGAGUACUUCUCCCUGAUAGUAAUUCUCCUUCUAAAUAUGGAAGCAGUGAAAAUGGCUUUGCUUCUGAUCCAUUCAGCAUUGGGACUCCAAGGAGCAGGAACAAAUUCACAUUGCUACUUUUGAAGUUGAGCUUGGUUGUGAUUUUAGUUCUUGCUCUUACGGGAUCUUUCUGGUGGACUAUCUCAAUAUCAACCUCGUCAAGAGGUCAAAUACUCCAUAACUAUAGGCGACUUCAGGAGCAACUUGUUUCGGACCUAUGGGAUAUUGGCGAGUUGUCUCUUGGUUCUUCAAGGUUGAAGGAUGUCGAAUUCUGUUCUCAAGAGUCUGAAAAUUAUGUUCCUUGUUUCAAUGUUACAGAGAAUCUUGCUUUGGGUUUUUCUGAUGGUAAUGAGAAUGAUCGUCAUUGUGGGCAAGGGUCAAGGCAAAAUUGUUUACUGCUUCCACCAGUAAAUUAUAGGAUUCCUCUUCGGUGGCCUACUGGAAGGGAUGUCAUCUGGGUUUCAAAUGUUAAAAUUACUGCGCAGGAGGUACUUUCCUCUGGUAGUCUGACCAAGAGGAUGAUGAUGUUGGAUGAGGAGCAGAUUUCCUUUCGUUCAUCCUCUAUGUUUGAUGGUGUUGAAGAUUACUCACAUCAAAUUGCUGAAAUGAUUGGACUGAGAAAUGAAUCUAACUUCAUACAAGCUGGUGUAAGAAUCAUUUUGGACAUAGGGUGCGGUUAUGGUAGCUUUGGAGCACAUCUAUUUCCAAAACAACUUUUAACUAUGUGCAUUGCAAACUAUGAAGCUUCAGGCAGUCAAGUUCAACUUACUCUUGAAAGAGGUCUUCCUGCAAUAAUUGGUUCCUUUUCUUCAAAACAGUUGCCAUAUCCUUCUCUUUCCUUUGAUAUGUUGCAUUGUGCAUGGUGCAGCAUUGAUUGGGACCAAAAAGAUGGUAUUUUCUUGAUUGAAGUUGAUAGAGUUUUAAGGCCUGGUGGAUAUUUUGUCUGGACUUCACCUCUUACAAACGCUCGUAAUAAAGAGAAUCUGAAAAGGUGGAACUUUGUUCGAGAUUUUGCAGAAAAUAUCUGUUGGGAGAUGUUGUCUCAACAAGAUGAAACUGUCAUAUGGAAAAAGACUACUAAAAGGAAUUGCUAUGGUUCCAGGUAAGGCAACUUGAAAGAUAUUUUUAUUUAAUAUUUGCAUCAUCAUUGUAGCUUAGAUUUGGGUAAGGGCAUACAUGCCCAAGCUCAAAUAAGCAUUUUAAAUUUCAAAUUAUUUUUUCCUUAUUUUAGGUGGAUUAUAUCCUAAUACUGAUGCCUCUUUAUGGUACUUGAUACGCAUUGGAAAUGGGAAUAUAAUAUAAAGAGCCAGCAUAAGAAACAUAUUGUAUGUGAAGUUGCUUGAGAACUAAGUACUGUCCCAAUUUACAGCACAAACUUUUUGUGUUUCUAGGAAGCCUGGUUCAGGUCCUUCCAUCUGCAGUAGAGGCCAUGACGUUGAAUCUCCUUACUAUCGACCACUCCAAGCAUGCAUAGCAGGAACACAGAGUCGGCGAUGGAUUCCUAUAGAGGAGAGGAGAACCUGGCCUUCUAGGUCGCAAUUGAGCAAGAGCGAGCUUGCAAUACAUGGUUUGCAUUCAGAAGAAUUAGCAGAGGAAUCGGAAAACUGGAGAACAGCAGUCCAUAACUAUUGGUCACUUCUGUCACCAUUAAUAUUCUCAGAUCAUCCAAAGAGACCUGGUUAUGAGGACCCUUCUCCACCUUAUAACAUGCUCAGGAAUGUGCUGGACAUGAAUGCUCAUUUUGGUGGUUUUAAUUCUGCACUUUUGGAAGCUGGGAAGUCUGUGUGGGUUAUGAAUGUGGUGCCAACAACUGGACCUAACUACCUACCCUUGAUUCUUGACAGGGGCUUUGUUGGUGUAUUACAUGACUGGUAAUUCUACCGUCUAUUGCCAUCUUCUCCUUAACAUAUUAUCUUUGUAGUAAUACUCUUGUUCUAAGUGGAAUUGGAAAUUUAAAUUAUCAGAUUCAGAAGCAAUUGACAUUUUCUUGGUACUUAAAGCGUAUGCAAUAACAAGUUAAAUUCUGAGAGUACUUGGUCAGGAGCACAAAACUGAUAAAUAAAAAGAAUUGUGCUAGGAAGAAAAUAGGUUAUUUUAUGUAACAAAAUUUCCGUGUUUGUUCAGAUGCUUACCUUGUUCCAUACCCUCUUCUGCUCAGACCUUUUUUUCCAAGUGGAUUAUCCUGAACAGAUAACAUAGCAUAAAACCCUGAGGCCUUUACUUUCUAGUCCUGAUUAUGAACUAAGCUAGCUCCACAGGUCAUUAUGGAGGAAGUGUUGACAGGAAAAGCUUGUAUUCAAUUCAAUCAAUGAUGUUCCACAGACCAAAUCGAUUGUUCUGACUUCUGAGUGCAGCUUAGUAACAGCACCAUUAUAAUUUUCUUUUCCGAAGUUAAUUAAAACAAGUAUGAUUGUGUAAUCGGAGAAAUUCAGAUGGCGACUUUUUAGAAGUAAUGCUUACUGAUGGACAUCUUCUCACUUGUAUUGUAGAAAAUACUGUACCAUUCCUGAAUUUUGGUUUGUCUUGAUUUUCUCACAUAGAAAGACUCUGGAGUAAAUUUUGUGUAGUUAAUUUAUGAAGAUGUCUGGGUAGGCUCUUGAUUAGAAUCUGUAGAUGAGAAGAGAAAGUUAUGUUAAGUUGGUGCACUUACAAUCUGUACACUGAUUUCUAAUUAUUGUAAAUAAGUUGACAUUUUUAUUGUGUUCUGUGCUUAUUGAUUAGAUGAAUAUUUUUCCAUUUCAGGUGUGAAGCAUUCCCAACAUACCCAAGAACUUAUGAUUUAGUGCAUGCAGCUGGACUUCUAUCCCUUGAAUCUGGUCAGCAGCGUAGGUGCACCAUGCUGGACAUAUUCACUGAGGUUGAUCGAGUACUUCGCCCAGAGGUACUCAGUUAAAAAAAUUCACUUUCUGAAUUUUGAAUGUCUUACAAGUUUUAUUAUUGUGGCUAAGGGUGGGGGAAAAUAUUAUCAACCUGACAUGAACUAAUUAUUCAGUACACAUUCUUGUCUUUGCUAGACCACAAAAUAUAUCAUAUAUGCUUUGCAGAGUUGCAUUGUCAAUUUAAACUGCUAAUAUGUUUGUGAUGAUAGAUUCAUAUACUUCAUUGCUUGUUCUGAUUUAGAUGGUUAUCAUCAUUACUUGUACUCUACAAUGUUAAGAAUUGUAGUUCAAAUAUCUAUAGAAAUGAUAGAAUAUUGGUAUUAGAGCUUUCAAACUUCGACUAUGCUUGGUGAUAUAUUUUAUCCUCCUUUUGCGCAAACCUGAAGAUCCUUGUGUUUUAAGAAUGCCAGGAGUUACCAAAUGGUAGUAUGCUGCAUAAUACAAAGCUUUUGUGUGACAGAAGUUUUGUAGCUUUUAUUUUGUUUGGUUUUGACAAAAUUGAAAAUGGUUUUUUUUUAGCAAAACUUCUCAAUUCAAUUAACCUUCUAAACAACCUCCUUUACUUAUCUUUGAAAGAGAGUCUUCUCUUAACCUUGUAUACUUGUGCAUGUAUACUCUUUAAGCUUUCCAUUUACAUGUUCUUCAUCACUAAUUUGUUAAUAUUUUCUCCAACAGUCACUUUAUACCUUAUAGGCCUUUUUAACACUCCUCAUUAGCAAUCAGUAUUUUUCUGUUGCAUAAUUGAGCUACAUAAGCUCUAUUUUGUCAAGAGUUUUGAAGUUAGCAUGUUUAUCAUAACUCAUUGGAAAAAUGGCACUCAAAUAUGUUCUAUAUUUCAUAGAUUCUAAGCACAGGUGAACCACUGAUGCAUUGAUAUUAAACCAAAGAUGUCACGGAUCUAAAGAAUGUCAUUCUUGCUGCUUAUGGCAAACAAUGAUGAAAAAAAUUAUCUUGAAGUUGACCAAGAUUUUAUGCAGGUAUCUUGAAACUCAGUGAAUUCUAUACAAUUGAUUGUGUUGUUUUUAAAAGAUGUUUGGACACAUGAACAACUUCAGCCUCUUUUACUGCCAAAAUGUAAAAGAGAAGGAAAAAAAAAAACUGCCUGCCUAAAAUUGUACAGAGGAUAGCAAAUAACAUGGCAUUGAUAAAGUUUUCUUGUGGAAUAGGCAUAAAUGAAUUUUGGGAUAGCAGCUUAAUUUGUUUGUAUGCUGUAGAACAGAGUAGAUCUAUUAUGGUUGCAUGGUAAAGAUGCCCUUUUCUUUGCGGCAUUACGAAUUUUUCUGGUUGAUGC